rnacentral:rRNA from 1 species
CCUACGGGAGGCAGCAGUGGGGAAUAUUGGGCAAUGGAGGAAACUCUGACCCAGCAAUGCCGCGUGAAUGAAGAAGGUCUUCGGAUUGUAAAGUUCUUUAGUCAGGGAAGAAGUCAAUGACGGUACCUGAAGAAUAAGCUCCGGCUAACUACGUGCCAGCAGCCGCGGUAAUACGUAGGCAGCAAGCGUUGUUCGGAAUGACUGGGCGUAAAGGGUGCGUAGGCGGUUGUACAAGUUAGAAGUGAAAUACCCGGGGCUUAACUCGGGUGCUGCUUCUAAAACUGUAUGACUUGAGUGCAGUAGAGGUUAGUGGAAUGCCUGGUGUAGCGGUGGAAUGCGUAGAUAUUAGGAAGAACACCGAAGGCGAAGGCAGCUAACUGGACUGCAACUGACGCUGAGGCACGAAAGUGUGGGGAGCAAACAGGAUUAGAUACCCGGGUAGUC